CCUAGAAUUUUUCUUAGCCCCAUAUUUCCAACUCCCUAAAGAAUUUGUAUCUCCGGUAUCGUUCACACGGUCCUUCCAACUCCCAAUAGAAUUGGUGUCAUCUUUAUCAUGACCAUCAAUAUAUCCAUCCAAAUCUAACACUUAAUUGUCUUCUUUCUUCAAGGGCUCAGCGCCAUUGUCUGCUUCCACAAUUAAUUACCCAACAACAGAAAUAACAAAUACUACUAUCAGAUAACAUAUGCAACCAAAAAAAAACCCUAAAUUUCAUUGAAUUGUAGAACCAUCCUCAUCUUAACAAAGAUAGAAAGGGAUAAAAUUCCCCAAAAUCUGAUCUUUACAUAAAAAAAGAAACCAUCAAGUACAAAUGCAUGCAUGCAGUUAAAUAUAUAAAUACAAACACAUAAUGUAAUAUGUGCAAAGAAAACGUACUCCUAUUAGAUUUUCUCUCCCUAAAGUAUACCUGGGUGGAGGGAUCGAACUCGAUCGGAGAGGGUCUGAGUGCAACGUGGACAAAGAUCUCUUGAUAGAAAAGGUAGCCAAUGCGAUAGAACUCCGAUGCGAUUCGGAGUUCGUCGGCGUUGUAGUUAAGCAAGAACGAGUCAGUCGUACGAGCUUGAACGCCAUUCAUGGUGUUCUUCGCAAGGCAGAGUCAACUUGGAUAGAAUCAGUUGUGUGAUUUUUUAUAGAGAGAAACAG
rnacentral:lncRNA from 1 species